CUAAGAAAUGGACCAUAAAAAUGGUAAGAAGGCUUAUCCAAUUCCAAAUAACAAUUGUUUGAACACCAAGCAGCUUAAGAAAGCAAGCAGUAUGAUCGUUCUCAUCCAGAACAGCAAAUCAUUGCUGAGGUAAAAUCGUUUGGCUGGUGGUAGCACAAUGAAAAUAUUAAUCCUAGUUGUUAAUCCUUUUAAUUUAUACAUAUUAUAUAAAUCAUGUUGCUUAUUUUUCUAAGCCUGCUGUUAGGAUUGGCUGCACACCGUUCUCCUUUGGAGGAUGGCUUGUUGAGGACUCCACUGGUGGGCCAGCUACUUUGGGCAUGUUUCAGAUGUAAUUACUGAAAAAGUGAGCCUGAAAAUUGCAUCAGGAUAGCCAGAGAUGAGCAUUUCUGUGAAUAAAACAGGAAGACCUAUUGCACAUUUUUGUAACUGGCCUGCAUAUGAAGGAGGAUUUCCACCAAAGGAGGAGUGGCAAAACUGGAACCACAUGGAGCCAUACCUGCAAGUGCCUCUAGAGUGACUACUCAAACCCACUCUUCAAACCCACUGUCCCAAAAAUGCAGCAGUUAAAUUUUUAAUCAUUACAAUCAAGGUACUUAGCUAAGAUACCCUUCUGAAGUGUUAGCUGCCCAAAUUAUGUAAAAAUAUGCAAAUAAAUUUUGUUGCUGGGCUAGAAAAUUUAAGAUUCAUUUGCACAGCCAUGCAGAAAGCUUUGAAAAUGUGAUUUAAAAAUUAAAUAGAAGAUGUAGGGCAUUUUUUAUUAAUUCAGAUGAAAAACACUAAAGAGUAAAUAAAUUUGAAUGACUGAUACAAAUAAAAGUUCUGCGCUGUAAACUUAACUUCCAUUUUUGAGCUUACUGAGCCUUGACACUGCAUACCCUUAAGAUCUAUAAAUCUUUUAAGGUGUUUUACCAUUUUCUUAAGGGAGUCACAUUUGCAAAAUUUCUUAUGAUCAGACAAAUGUAUCUGUCUGGACACAAAGGCUGUUAUUUCAUUACGAACCAUAAUAUACAUGGCUUCAAUUCUUAAUUUAAUGGUAUCUGAUCUAUUUCAGGUGAUGGUAGGUAAUUUUGGCCAGGGUAAUGAGCAGUGUCAGUUCUGUGGGCAGUUCUCACAGCACCUCACUUCAUAUCCAAUGAGCUAAGCAAGGACACUUCCUUAGAGUACAGAACAUAUCCUGAAAAAUGAGAUAUUGAUUUAUACAUAUCAAGAUGCUUCAGAGCUUCAAGGAAAGCACAUCAUGAAAGUACUCAUUUGUCAACUUUCUUCUUUGAGAGAAGGUUUUAAUUCUUAACACUGUUAGUCUUUACAGUUUCCCUAAAGAGUAUCGGAUUUUCUUGUACCCUUUAGAAAUACUCUUUUCCUAUGCCCAUUUAAUUUAUUGGAUUAUUUUAUUCUGUUUGAUUUUCUCUAUCUGUUGUCUUAUUUGUGCAUUAUAAACACACGUUGGAGAUUAAGGUGAAGAAAAUUACACCUAUUAUCUGACCUAUUUGCUAACAUAAUCUUUACAUCACUGUUGGAACUAGCUAACCCAUUAUCAUAAGCUUCAGCUGUUUACAUCAGGUCUUAAUUUUGUCAUUUUCUUUUCUGUAACUAUGGCUGCACUGAUGAAUUUAACAAUAUAAGAUGUGUCUGAUACUGCCUUGGAAGACAGAGAAUGUCACUGCAUCCACUGUUAGUAUGAAUCUCUGGAAGUGUUUUACUCGAUAUACAAUGUUUGUUGUAGCUGUACUUUACAGCAGUACGUUUUUGUUAGAUACAAUAUCUUGAGUUUUCAACUCAGUAGUCCUGUCUUUAUUUGCUUUUGUGUUUAGAGGUUAACUAGAACAGAUAUUUAAUGCUGAAGAAUUCUAGUGUAACUCAAAAGAUGGAAUUUGGGUAAAGUUAAUUGAUCUCUUUUCCAUCACAGGUUAUAUAUGAGGUUUAAAUCUGUCCAUAAAGAAGAUGGAGAGGGGAAAACAGUGGUUUAUAAUCCAAUUCAUUUAAAGAAUGGUGCUUUAGCAAAUAACAUGGGCAGAUGUGAGGAAUACCUCUCCUGUCUCAUUUUACCCAAAGGAAUCCAGGUCACAUGCUCUGAGACAACUCUAUAAAAAGCACAGUACAUAGCUUACUUCUGAGCCAGACUAAAAUGCUAACACUUUGCCAGUUAGAUUGCUCGUAGCAGGAGUCAGUUCUUUGAAGAAAGUUUUGCAAGAGACCUUUGCAUAAACAAGCAGGGAUCAAGCCAUAUUUCUCUUUUUGCAGUCAGGUAUCCUAAUCACAAGAUAGAGUGUCACUGGUGCAUGGUUCUUUCUCUCUCACUUGAGUAAGAGACACUAAUUCUUUUCACAAUUUCAGCAAAAGGAGUAGAAGCAGUAGUUGCUUACAAACCUCUUUAAGCUGACAAUUAGAUUAUCCUUUUAGUAGGAAUGCCAAGUAGGUUAAAUAUCUUCAAGGCCUCUAAACUGCAGCUCUUCGAUCCUGAAAGCUAGUAACACAUUGGCACUAUGUCUGAUUCCCUGCAGUCUUAGGUCAAAAUGGCUAAAUGUUGCACCUCUCUGCUGUGUUUAAUCAUAUCCGUGUGGCUAAAAUAGAAAAUCCCCAGUCAUCAUGUUGGCUCUUAAGAAUUCUUAACUCCAUACACUAUGGAGAAAGUUCAGGCCCUUCCCAUAGAGAAUCAGCCACCACAAUGCUCAGUUAUAGACCAAUACCUGCAAACAGUAUAAGAAGUUAUUCAUCAGCUGAUCUUAACUGUCAUCCUUAUUCCAAACAGUCAAGCAGUCAUCUGAAGCUCAGGUUUAUAAGCGCUCGUAAAAAUAGCAAAGCAUUUUCAAGCUGACUGAGUAUAAAAACACAAUUAAGGAAUUCUUCAGGCUUACCUCUGACACAUUUGAAGGAAUUGGAGUUUCAAGUUUUAACAGUAGUGUUUACUUUUUGUUUUAUAUCAUUCUACUUCAUAUUAGAGAACCUGAAAACCAAACCCAAAACCAUUUUAAUAAUCUGUCUCCUAAAAUGUAGUGGAACAAAAGCCACAUUACAAAACUAACAAUUUUAUGUAUACACUGAAAAACUCUGACUGAAUUUAAGUAAAACCUUAAAUAAGGGUGUCCAGACUUGUUUAGGUGCUUUUGACAGAAAACCAAAGGAGGCUGAAGCUAGCUGGUGUGUUCAACCUAGCUUAUUUCCGAUUUUAUACUGCUGAGUAUUGAGCUGAUGACAGAUUUUUCUGUUCUCUUUACAAUCGUUACUGAAAUACAGGAUUUCUCUUCAGAGACAACUCUU